UCUCUCAAAUCUUUACUCAUAAUAAACCAACAUCAAAAUCUUAAGAAAAAAAAUAAAACGAGCAGAAAGGUAAAGGAAACGGGAUUACCAACUGGUUUAAAAAAGGGCGGUGGAGACGGAAAACGGCAGUGACGGUGGCGGUUACAUGUUGGCAUCGGAAGAGGCAAAGAGUUUGUUUGUGUCGUAAGGUUUCCUUGAGGUUUUGGUGAGUGAAGGUGGAAAAAGAUCUAGGCGGAGGGUGAUCGAUGUAGAGUGGUGCAAUGAGUGCACGACAAAUGUUAGUUUUUCGUUGGAGUUUUUUUUAUCGUGAGGUUGAGUGUUGUAAGUUGUUGCUGUUGAACUUGAGUGGUGUUUCGUAUGUUGUUACGUUCUAAUUGUUGUUCGUGCUUGUGGUUGAGGCGGUGGAACAGUGAGCUUGUUGAGUGGUUUGGUGUUGUACACAGAUUUUUUGGUGGUGGUGGAGCAAUUUGCGUUUUGACUGAGGGAUUUUGUCGGCUGAGUUAUGAUUUUCGGUCGAUGUGAAAGAUGGUGAUGGUGUUGAAGUGGUAAUGGUUUUGUUGGUGUUACUGUUAUAUUAAAUGUCGCGGUUUGUGCGAGUAUAGUGGUCAACGACUCAGUUUCUGGUUAUUGCAGCGGUUAGAUGUGGUGGUUAUGGGACAUGGUUUGUGUGUAGUAAUGAAGAUGAUGAACAGUGGAGGGAUGAAUGGAAAAGGGAAAAUGAAAGGUUAUGUUGAGGUUGCUUUUGAGUGUGUUGUUUUGUUCAUGAAAAAUGAGAUGGUUUGUUGGAAGGUUGAUAGUAGCAUGAAGAGAAGGUGUUUGAUGCUACUGUGUUGUGUUUGCUGCAGUUUAUUUGUGGCUUGUAGUAAAAGAGUGGAGUUUUGAAGUUGUAGAAGAAAAAUGGAGAUGAGUUUUUUGGUGUUUGCAAGGGUGUGGUUCGAUACUUG
rnacentral:lncRNA from 1 species